UACGGGGGGAGCAAGCGUUGUUCGGAUUUACUGGGCGUAAAGGGCGCGUAGGCGGCCACCGCAAGUCGAUUGUGAAAUCUCCGGGCUUAACCCGGAAAGGUCAACCGAUACUGCGGGGCUAGAGUGCAGAAGGGGCAACUGGAAUUCUCGGUGUAGCGGUGAAAUGCGUAGAUAUCGAGAGGAACACCUGCGGCGAAGGCGGGUUGCUGGGCUGACACUGACGCUGAUGUGCGAAAGCAUGGGGAGCGAACAGG
rnacentral:rRNA from 1 species